CCUACGGGAGGCAGCAGUGAGGAAUAUUGGUCAAUGGGCGCGAGCCUGAACCAGCCAAGUAGCGUGAAGGAUGACUGCCCUACGGGUUGUAAACUUCUUUUAUAAAGGAAUAAAGUGAGGCACGUGUGCCUGUUUGUAAGUACCUUAUGAAUAAGGAUCGGCUAACUCCGUGCCAGCAGCCGCGGUAAUACGGAGGAGCCGAGCGUUAUCCGGAUUUAUUGGGGUUAAAGGGAGCGUAGGUGGGAUGUGAAGUCAGUUGUGAAAAUUUGGGGCUCAACCGUAAUAAUGCAAUUGAUACUGGCAGCCUUGAGUACAGGAGAGGUAGGCGGAAUUCGUGGUGUAGCGGUGAAAUGCUUAGAUAUCACGAAGAACUCCGAUUGCGAAGGCAGCCUACUGGACUGCCACUGACGUUGAGGCUCGAAAGUGUGGGUAUCAAACAGGAUUAGAUACCCUGGUAGUC
rnacentral:rRNA from 1 species